AUGGGGGGGAGGCUGACCUUGCUAGAUUCGGUAGUCACCCAAAUAUCCUUGUACCAUAUGUCUAUGUGGCUUAUGAACAAAACUUUCAUUGAGCGCCUUGACAAACAUAGACGAAAGUUCUUUUGGCAAGGGUGCAAUAAGAAGAGGAGGUAUCAUCUUGUUAGAUGGAACAGGAUCUGCAGAUCCAGAGAUAAAGGUGGUUUGGGGAUUAAGGACCUCCACAAACAGAAUGUUAGUUUGAUGGUCAAAUGGUGGUGGAAACUAGAGACCCAAACGGGGAUGUGGCAAGAUAUUGUUUGUGCACGCUACCUGACAAACAAAUAUGUGGCCUCGGUUAAGCCCAGGUUUUCCGAUUCCCCUUGUUGGAAAGCCUUACUAAAAGUAAAAGAUAUUUACUUAGUUGGCAGGAAGAUCCAUCUAGAAUCUGGUGACCUCGUCAGAAUCUGGAAAGAUUCCAUAAAGGGGUUGAGUCCUUUUCAGACUCUAUAUCCAUUGCUCUUUGAGAUAUGUAAUGAUCAGGAUUGCACCGUUGAUAGGUUCAAUUCUGUGGACGUCCACACCUUCUUCAGAAGGAGGCUCACACCUAAGUUAUCC
rnacentral:rRNA from 1 species